UGAUUACAGUGGAUCAAAGUCAGCAGCCCACUUGUGCUUGCACAAGAGUGGGGUGAUGACCUUGAGACACGCCCCCAACAUGAGCAUAAAAGUGUAGCGCAAGCUACACGAUAUGCGAAUGCUGGGGGAGGAUUGCGGGAGUGCGAAGCACGUAGCAAUCCGGUAAUCA
rnacentral:sRNA from 23 species